rnacentral:rRNA from 1 species
UUUAGUGACUAUAGCGAGGGAGAUAUACCUGUUCCCAUACCGAACACAGAAGUUAAGCCCCUUUGCGCCAAUGGUACUUGGUGGGUAACUGCCUGGGAGAGUAGGACGUUGCUGAAU